UGGGGAAUAUUGCACAAUGGGGGAAACCCUGAUGCAGCGACGCCGCGUGAACGAAGAAGGUAUUCGUAUCGUAAAGUUCUGUCCUAUGGGAAGAUAAUGACAGUACCAUAGAAGAAAGCUCCGGCUAAAUACGUGCCAGCAGCCGCGGUAAUACGUAUGGAGCGAGCGUUGUCCGGAAUUAUUGGGCGUAAAGAGCUCGUAGGCGGUUCAGUAAGUCGGGUGUGAAAACUUUGGGCUUAACCCAAAGCGUGCAUCCGAUACUGCUGUGACUUGAGUACGGUAGGGGAGCGGGGAAUUCCUAGUGUAGCGGUGAAAUGCGCAGAUAUUAGGAGGAACACCGGUGGCGAAGGCGCCGCUCUGGGCCGAAACUGACGCUGAGGUGCGAAAGCAUGGGGAGCAAACAGGAUUAGAUACCCCAGUAGUCCCUGAGCGGGCUGGCAAGGCGCAU
rnacentral:rRNA from 1 species